rnacentral:rRNA from 1 species
UACGGGGGGGCAAGCGUUGUUCGGAAUUACUGGGCGUAAGGGUUCGUAGGUGCCAACUAAGUCAGACGUGAAAUCCCUCAGCUUAACUGGGGAACUGCGUCUGAUACUGGUUGGCUUGAGUGCAGGAGAGGAACGCGGAAUUCCAGGUGUAGCGGUGAAAUGCGUAGAUAUCUGGAGGAACACCGGUGGCGAAGGCGGCGUUCUGGACUGCAACUGACACUGAGGAACGAAAGCCAGGGUAGCAAACGGGG